UACGGAGGGUGCGAGCGUUGUCCGGAAUCACUGGGCGUAAAGGGCGCGUAGGCGGCGCGACAAGUCAAUGGUGAAAGCCCGAGGCUCAACUUCGGGUCGGCCACUGAUACUGUUGGGCUUGAGCACUGUAGAGGCAGGUGGAAUUCCGGGUGUAGCGGUGGAAUGCGUAGAGAUCCGGAAGAACACCGGUGGCGAAGGCGGCCUGCUGGGCAGUAGCUGACGCUGAGGCGCGACAACGUGGGGAGCAAACAGGG
rnacentral:rRNA from 1 species